UAUAUAUAUAUAUAUAUAUAUAUAUAUAUAUAUAAUUCUACAAUUAUGCAGUCCACUACUAAAGGCUUAAAUUCACAGUAACAACUCUUUUCUAAGUAAAAAUAAGGCUAAAUGGAGGACUGGGGUAAUGCUACCUUACUCUUGUAUAAUGUUUUAUUAUUCUGUUGGUAUUUUUCUACUUAAUUUUGUUUUCAUUAUGUAUAUUAUGGUCUACAAUUUUAAUCUGCAGAAAGUAUGAGAAAGCGUGGGGCAUUGUGCUUUCAUUUAUGAUUUUUAAAAAUUUUUUUUGUUGUGAUUUGCAACACCCAACCCUUCCUUACAGAGGAAAAUAAGAUAAAAGAGGAGUCUUGCCUGAUUAGUGUUUCUGUAAUGAAAUAAAUACUUCAAAAGUGAUUGCUACUGCUGUAUAUUCAAGUGAAUGCAUAUUAAAUUAUUUGUCAUAUACUUGUAUAUGAAAAUUUUGCAACUGAAUGUUAAUCAAGCUGCUUUAUGAGGCUAAGAAAAAGACUUCUUGAGGGUUUCAUGUUAUUAAUGUUAAGUUGGAAGAGCAACAUGUGCCAUAUAUUAUGGAUAAUAUUAUUAGGGCUGUAAUUUGUAAAUAACCGGACUAACCUUGAAUUACCUAAGGGCAUAUGGAUAACCACUCAACUUGUUUAAAUUAUCUAGCCAAACCAUAGUUUAGGUGUACUAAUCUUGAUUAGUCAACCUUGUUUCAGUUAACUAGCCAAACUAUAGUUUAGGUGUACUAGACUUGGCUAGUCAACCUCAAUUUGGCUCAUGGAAGCUUGAAUUUAAAAUUGUAUAUAGUUUUAUGAAUCAGUAUUACCUUAUGGCUCAAAGUAUUGUAUAUAGUUUUAGUAAUUACCAGAGUUCAUCUUGCAUCUCUAUGUUGCAUCUUUUAUACGGUUCCCCUCCAUGUAAUUUCCGUAAUUUGAUGCUACUACUUUUAAUCUAUUGAAAGUAGUUUGCAUCUCUACUUUUAUUUGCUGGCUACAAAAAUUGAAACGAUUUUUAUAAUCUGACUUUUUGUGUUAAAUUUUGUUGCAGGAUAUGGGCUUCAGUCUCUUUGACUAAGUUGAGUGUUGGUAUAAAGAACUCCCUUCUGAAGUUGUCGUGCUUUAGUUUGGCGUAGAAGGUUGAAGAGCUUACUCCAGGAACAAAUGGAGGGAGUAGAACAAAGAAUGGGGAGAGGAUAACAUUGAAAGCACUGAGUUUUUGGAGGGGUCUUGAUAAAUUCCUUAGUAGCCUACUUGUACUAGCUGUUGUGGCCUUGUGGGUGAUGAUAAGGUUAAGGCUAAGACCAUCUUUGGUGUAGUAGUAGUAGUUGUUGUUCUGUAUUCCUAUAACAAUAAUUAUAUAGAGCAAAUGAUGUUUUUCUUUAAAUGGCAAUCUCUGUUUAUUGUAAUGUACAUUGGGUAGUUAUGUUGUUUUAUCCUUCUUGCUGUUGAUCCAAGUGGUUUACCAUAAUCUUGUACAUUGGGUAGAGCGUGUAUAUAUAGAAAAGACAGGGCUACUCAAACCACAAUCCCCAAUUCAAGCUUCUUUAACUGUUCUACAGUAUGAUUGUCAAGACGAUUUAAGUAGGAAU
rnacentral:lncRNA from 1 species